rnacentral:rRNA from 1 species
GACGAACGCUGGCGGCGUGCCUAAUACAUGCAAGUAGAACGCACAGUUUAUACCGUAGCUUGCUACACCAUAGACUGUGAGUUGCGAACGGGUGAGUAACGCGUAGGUAACCUGCCUGGUAGCGGGGGAUAACUAUUGGAAACGAUAGCUAAUACCGCAUAAUAUUGAUUAUUGCAUGAUAAUUGAUUGAAAGAUGCUAUUGCAUCACUACCAGAUGGACCUGCGUUGUAUUAGCUAGUAGGUGAGGUAACGGCUCACCUAGGCGACGAUACAUAGCCGACCUGGGAGGGUGAUCGGCCAAACUGGGACUGAGACACGGCCCAGACUCCUACGGGAGGCAGCAGUAGGGAAUCUUCGGCAAUGGACGAAAGUCUGACCGAGCAACGCCGCGUGAGUGAAGAAGGUUGUCGGAUCGUAAAGCUCUGUUGUAAGAGAAGAACGGGUGUGAGAGUGGAAAGUUCACACUGUGACGGUAUCUUACCAGAAAGGGACGGCUAACUACGUG